GGUGGUCCUCGGUAGUGGUUGCCGGAAACCUCGCCCUCACGGGCGGGAGGGUCCGGCGGCUUCGAUCGAUGACCGCG
rfam:Tsukamurella pulmonis strain DSM 44142 genome assembly, contig: Ga0074760_12